rnacentral:lncRNA from 1 species
GAAGUUCUCCUUCUAGAUAUCCUAAUAGUUUUAAUAAAUCCGUUUUAUUCAACUCCAUCUUUGGAUUGCGCUGUAACAUAAAAAACAUCAUAAGAAAUAAGUUGAUUAAAAAUCAAAUCAACAUAUACAAGAGUAUUUAGAGAAGAGCGCGUAGCGCGUACGCACACAUUGACACGCAAAUAUAAGAGAAAAA